rnacentral:rRNA from 1 species
CCCUUAGAUGUUCUGGGCCGCACGCGCGCUACACUGAUGCAUUCAACGAGUCUAAAACCUGCUCUGAUAGGGGUGGGUAAUCUUUUGAAUGUGCAUCGUGAUUGGGAUAGAUGAUUGCAAUUUUUCAUCUUCAACGAGGAAUGCCUAGUAAACGCAAGUCAUCAGCUUGCAUUGAUUACGUCCCUGCCCUUUGUACACACCGCCCGUCGCUCCUACCGAUUGAAUGAUCCGAUGAAUAUCAUGGAUUGAGGAUGCAAGCAGGUUCGCCUGUCUUCAUCUUCGAGAAGUGAAGUAAAUCUUAUCAUUGAGAGGAAGGAGAAGUCGGAACA